AUAAUUCCCUAGAUCAAGAAAAAACAGGACUGUAAAGAGGGAAUCAGUUUGGGUCAACUUUACCUGCUGGUAACAGACCAAGGUUUUCUUACAGAAGAGAAAGUUGUCUGGGAAAGCUUGCACAAUGUGGAUGGGGAUGGAAAUUUCUGUGACUCUGAGUUCCACCUACGGCCUCCUUCAGACCCUGAAACUGUCUACAGAGGGCAGCAGGAUCAAAUAGAUCAAGAUUAUUUGAUGGCUUUGUCUCUACAACAAGAGCAGCAAAAUCAAGAGAUUAACUGGGAACAGAUACCAGAAGGAAUCAGCGAUCUAGAGCUAGCAAAGAAGCUCCAAGAAGAGGAGGAUAGGCGAGCUUCUCAGUACUAUCAGGAGCAAGAACAAGCAGCUGCUCAGGUCCAGCAGGUGCAAGGUGCUCCUUCUCCAGCAAGUGGAAGACAAUCUGGGAGCAAUGAACGCAAACGUAAGGAGCCUCGAGAGAAAGAGAGAGAAAAAGAGAAGAAUAGCUGUGUUCUCUUGUAACAGUAAAUGGAUGACAGCAUGGAGCCAAGUGCAUGUCCUCAGAAGCAAAAACAAGGAGUAAAAAGGAAGACAAACCCGUUACAUGCCGCCUGUGCCUGAUUACCCCACGGAUUUUGUUCACGUUUCAGGAGAAGAUGGGUGACUUUGUUACAAUCAUAUAGACUUUCUUCAAAGUCAUAGUGUGUGCUGCUUGAGAUGGAAUUCCAAAUCACAGUUGGAUGUGGCUGUGCUUUGAGUUAGUCAUAAGAAAUACUGCACCUUGUAGCUAAAAACACAAGUUAUGGCAAGUUUUGUGUCAUAGUGACAUCCAUUAUGUAUUACAUCAGUAAGCUGUUUUAUCUUCCACUCUAAACAAAGGAGGUAACUGGUUUUGUUUAAGACUUUUCUUAAAGUAUGUACACUAGCACAACAAAAUCUUGUGUUACUUUCAUGGUAUGAAACUAUAUCUUAGGCUGGGUAUAGUCUUCACAACAUAAGCGCCCAAAUAACAGAUGGGUGGUGCCUCCUCAGUGUUUCCAGAUAUCUUUGCUUCUGGAUCUAGUACGUUUGUUUUUUUGAACCCAGAUUUAUACUGUGUUAGUGCUGUUGUUGCAUCUCUUUGCCAGCUUUCUUGCCCCAAGAGUACAUGACUUGAUCACAUAAAAAAAUUGUUAUUAAAAAAUGGGGCAUUUAUUAAUGAGCAAGAUGAAUAUCAUUUGUUUUUCUUGCAAUUACAAACUGGGUAUGACAACUCAGAUGUUAUCAGGGUUAAACAAGUAAUUUUAUAGGUCAUUUCUUUUCCUUUAAGUAUUUUUUUCCUCUUGUAGGUAAACUGGACCAGAUAGGAACUUAUUUAUUGACCUCUCCAUAUGAUAGGUAAAAAGCGAGAGGGCACUAAGGUCCAUAAUAAUUCUUAUUCUGUCUAAGAAUGCAGAGUUAAAAUAACUAUCUAUCUGCCUUUUUUUCCAGAAGUACCUUGAACUUUAACAUGACGUUAACACGUUCACUUGUAUAGUUGAGCAAGUGUAAUGUAAUUAAAUACAUACUUUGCUUUCUAAAUCAUAUAUCCUUAAAAAGCACACUUAAGAAGGGUGAGAGAAAAGCUAGGCUGAUCUCUUGAGAUAGUUUGGAAAGGCGGUCAGGUGUAAUAUUUUGUUUUAAAUAGCUAAUUUAGGAUUUUUGGAAACCAGGUUUUUCUAAUUUAUGGGAACCAAACAAAGAUAUUGCAUCUUCUAGUAUCUAUAGAAUAUAGGAAUGGGAUGCUCACUGAAUUUUGAGGGGACCACAACUCCUCCUCCGCUUAUGUUAAGUCAGUAACAGUUAUCUUCUUGCUGAACCUUUUUGAUAAAAUUUGUAUUUCACAAUUUGUAGAUACUUUUGAAAACGGCUGCUUCUCCUGGACAAGCCAAUUGCUUGCACGAGUCUGGGACAGCUGAAGUAGCUGGUGGGAUAUGACAUUCCUGCUGUCAGGGGUUUGGAUAAUGUCUGUAAGAGAGAGGCUGUCUAAACACAAGUUGACAACAAAAGCUGCUUUAAAACUAUUUCAAGCAGAGCUGCUGAGAUGAUCCUAGAAUGAAAAUUAGAUGUGUAAAGGAAGAAUGUCUUAUUAAAUGAAGAGCCAGUUUUUACCACUUUUUUAUUCCAUGUUUUUUUUCUUUUGUUUUUCAAUUUGUUAUAAUUUUUGUUUUAUAAAGAUGAAGUAAUGAAUGAUAGAUCUCUAAUAUGUAAAUUGUAAAUGUAAAAAAAAUUCUCUAUAUUCUCUAGUAAAGUCAUGCCCAGGAAAGUCAUUUUAACACAUAAUAUAUGCAGCUUAGAUAAAUUUCUAUGUCAAAGCAAAGGUUGACCACUUUUUUUCCUUUGCAGCAGCCUAACUUAUUCAAACAAACUAGUGUGAUGGAGGAUCACCAACAUAAUGACUUGUCUACAUUAAGCAAAUUACAAAAUAUUUCAGUAGUGACAAUAAUGAAGACUUAAAGGCAGAAUGUUGUUUAAAAACAUUCUGUUACUAAGAUUUUUUCCAAAUUUGUGUAUUUACAUUUAUUUAUUACCCUUGAAAAAUAAAUAUGUCAAGCUAAGUGUUUGUUAUCUUAUUAUUUUCAGUACAGUGUUGCCACUUUAAGUUUUGUAACAAAUUUGACUUGAACAGGCAUUGUGGCUGUUGUAGAUGCUUUUUGCCUGAAAUACUUGCUUGUAUUAGAAUAAUUCUUGUAGUAUUUCUAGUUUCAGACAGAUGUGCCUGAAGCCUUAUGUACUGUAGUGAUCACAGUGCCAUUUGGUCACAAUGAAAGAAAAGUUAAAUGUCAUCGUUCAUCACAAAGUAAGUCUGGACUCCCCAGUAAUUCCGUUUCUUUUUCAAUAAAAGAGUAAAGUUUUCAGGUUAUUUGAGAUGACAGGGAUGCUAUUCAAACAGUUUUCUGUUAAUAUACUGUUUUCUUUACAGGACUCAAGGCUUUGGAGAAAAGCUAAAGAACUCCUGAGAUGUAGGGCAUCGUUCUGCAUGGGUUGAGUUUGCUAGUGGCAAAAGUUAUAAGUAAGGUGAGCUUGUUAACAUCAAAAAUUAAGCAUCUGGAAGCUUAAUUAAUGCCCUACUGUGACUAACUACUUCAAAAGAAACUGUCACAGUUGGCAUAUAAGACAAUAUGUGAUGAAUUAAAAACUGAACAGAACCUCUUUUAUCUGUAGUAGUAAACUUGGAAAACAGUAUCACAGAGUAACCAGGGAGCACCAGCAAAGAUGCUGUGUACUGGCUCUGGCACUUAUGCUCUUUUUCAAAGCUCAUGUUCUGGCAAAAAGUUAUCCUUGACUUAGACUUAGACUUUAAAUUUGUUAUAGAAUUUAGCAUGUACACACUACAACUACCUACAAAAUGUAUAUGAAAGUGUCAUAGAAGUAGAGUAGAGCUUGUUUUCCACUAGAUAAAAGCUAGCACAGAAGACAGAAUCAUAGAAUUCCUUCUUGUUAUGUUAUAGCUGUGUAAUAAAGCUCAGUACAAGUACUGAAACUAGCAAAAAGUUGAGCACUGCCAUAGUGUUAAAUGUUGUUCUAAAAGGCACUUUAUAAAUGCUCAAAUCUACCACUUUUCUUAAGUGACAUUAAUAUGUAACCUGAGGCCCAACAAAGCAGAUCCAAAUGAAGAUUGUAACAUAAGAAAAAUUAACAUUCCUGAAAAUACACUUAAACACAAUGCAAAAAAUAUCCCUUUGUAGCAAGCCAUCCACUUAAUAUAAUGAAGAGUGCAUUCAGAUUGUCUUAAGAGAGCUCUUCUUGUGCAUCACAGACAUGAGUUUAAAAAUGCAGCAUAUGCUCUUCUGUAUACACUUGCAUUGGAUUGAUAGUCUCUACACUCGAUACUUCACAUCACUGUCAAGUAUUUCUUCAAAAUUGUAUACACAAAUUCUUGAAAAAAUUUCCAGUUAUGUAAUAAAAGGUAAUUCAGCUUCUUGAAAUUGCAUCUUCUGGUGUAUUCAACAGGAAAUACUACAGUAAAAUGUGAAGCUGAUAUACUUGUAGCUGAACCCUUUUUCCCUGCUACAAUUGACGUAUAACCCAAAGCUAACUCAUUGGCUUGAACAAUUUUUUUUUUUUUACUGUCAGGAUGCUUACUGCAGUAGCUGAAAUUUAUAUUACGUAAAUCUUUAAAUAAAACGUAAUGAAUUAAGAACUGUAUUUUAUAUAAAACAGACUCUUAGAGGUUGUAGUCUUAAAGAGAUUACUCAACAAGUGCAGGUUAAUUGAUGCAGUGUCCUUGUUAGAAAGCAUAUUGCAGAAAAGCAAAAAUAACAGCCUUUAGUUUGGUUGAAAUGUAAUGCUCACAGUUCUCCAUCUAUCCUAUGAGACUUUGGUAACAAGAAAAAUCUGAUAUGUGUUCACGUAGUCCAGUGACAACAAAUGUCAAUGCAAGUUUUGUGCAGUUACUUUAUUUUCUGUUAAGCAUAUUCAGCACUAGACUGGUUGCAGCGUUAUGUUGAGGAGGAAAAUCUAGUGAGGUAAAUGACAUCCAAAUCCACCUACCCAGAAAUCUUUUUGAUGUUAAUUUUCACUGUGUUUUUAUAUAGGUCCUUCUUGUUAACAGCUUGUUUUUGUAGUUGUCCAGUAGAAGAGCAACAUAUUGAAGCUCAGUUACCACUUCCUAUGAAGAAGUGUGGUGGGGAAAUAGAGUGAAGUGACUAGAACAUAAAGAUCUCUGUGCCACGUAAUUUUCUUGAAAUUGGGAAAGGAUUUGUCCCUAAUUUUGCUGUAGCAUAAUAAAUACCUGUAGGACAGCAUGUACUGGCCAAAUCUUCUCACCCAAGUAAUGACCAGCAUACUUGCUCAUGUCUGUCCCGGUACAUCUCCUCUUUACUGUCAUAGUGUUACUAGGCCAAGGCUAGCUGUUCAAACCUUCUGAUGACUCAAAAUUUUUAUUAAAUGUCUGUUGUCUACUGGUGAAUUUUGAUUUUGUCAGGUCUGCCACUUUGAGCUCUCUUACCUGAAGAAUUACCUCUGGAGAACUUGCUUUAAGUUCUUUACUGCCUUUAACGUCACUGUUCUGGUUUAUAUGAUUAUUACUUUUGCUGCUUGAAGGUUGCAGUGAACAAUUCAUUAUUUUCUGAGAAAUUGAAGUAUCUAGUUAAUUAUCCUUAGAAGUCAAAAUACCAUGUGUGCUUCUACAUGGCAGCAAAGAACAACUUCGGACAAAACGCUAGGCUUGGGAAAUGCAUGGGGGGAAUGAUUCAGCUGAGCAACAGUACUCAAAAUGUUUUAGCUUAAACAAUAUACUUAACAACAAACUAUUGUAACAAUAUGAAAAGGCUAUGUCAGUGCUCAUGUCACUAGUUGAGUCACACAUUUAAGGAAGUAGGUGCUGGUGUUGUGCCUAACAGCCUUGCUGAGGCCAAAAGUGAGUGAAAUUUGACUAUGCUACAGACAAACACCAAGCCAAAUCUUGGUACUGGGUGGGGGCAUAAAAACUUGCACAAGUUUUAUAUUUCUUUCAAUUAAUUGAGAAUGUCCUUUCAAUUCAAGUCCUGUCCAGUUUAUGAAUUUCACAAUCACUUAAACAAGGGAAGUGAUCUACGAGUGAUGUGAGACAGUGCCUUUAGCUCACACAAACUGAGAUCUCCUGAGCAGAAUCCAGAAAGGUGGAUGAAGUAGCACUAAUAAUACUGUAUUGCUACUGUAGACAGGACAAUAUGAGCUUCACCAUGCAGUGUGUCAAAUCCAAGUAUCUAACGUCCUAAGUCCAUAUUGCAUUCAUUAUUUGGACUGACUAUAGCAUGAAUAUUUCAGCCCAUGCCAAAGGUGCACUUCUUUGUUGUGGAAAAAAAAAAACUACACAAUUAGACAACUGCUUUCUUAAUAGACUUUCAAAAGACCUUAAACUGUUCUUUUUGGAAUUUUUAGUCUUGGGAAAUUAAUAAAAAAAAACCUUGAGUAGGAAAUAUAAUGAGAUUUGACAGUGUUUUUUCUUUUGUAGUAGAGUUAUAGGGAAGAUAAUAUUGAGGGGGGGAAAACACAAUCAAAUUUAAUUUUGUAUGAGAAUGUUGUAUUUACUUAUGUAUGUUGCAGUCACCGUUUAGAACUGAUAAAUUGCUUCAUCAGUAACAAGCCUUUGCUCUAGAAGUACAGUUAGGAACGGAUUUAUUUAUAAAUAUGUAAUGCUGUUUUUUCAGCUUUAGUUUUCAUUGUACGUUGCUAUAGUUAACAGUUCAAAACUACCUUACAGUGACUGCUGGUGGCUGAAUGUGUUUUUGGAUCCUUUAAACUUUGGGAGCAGUAUUUCAAUACUUCUAGCACUCCAAAUUUUUUGACUGUCUCUCCAGUCCAACCUCAUACUGAAAUGAACGAGGAAGAAACUGAAACAUGGCAUUUCAGUGUAAGCUUAAGCAUGCCAGUCAUGCAAUUAAUUACAAUUGGGAAAUCUUGGAGUAAACAAAGAGUCCACUUUUUAAAGUAAGUCUACUGUCAGAUUGCCCUUUGUGUUUUUAGUAUGCAUUUUCAGUACUCAGUAUCAAAGAAAAGUUUAUUUUCUCCUCAGUAUUUUAGUGCCAAGGCAACAACUGUUCUCUUAAUUGUCGGUUGGUUUUUCAUCAUUAUUGUUUUAUUGCAGAUUAAGUACAGCCAAAAAGAGCUGUUUUAUGUUAAUUACUGCUUUUGUUUAUAGCUGGCUUUUGGUGGAGUCCUUUAGCUUCAAAGCAGAUUUUAUAUGAGGUGAAUAAAUAAAAUGUUCUGCUUUCUUUGUUUCCUUUUUUUUUUUUUUGCCAGUUACAGCUGUGACAGACUUUAAAAUGGAGUUCUAUUUACUACAGAAAAAAAAUACUGCUUUUGGAAAUAAAACUUUUCUUUCACUUGCAAAAGUUUACUAACUGGUUGUCUUAAAGACUAUUACAGAUACAGUGAACCUGCCUGGGAAUUAUUAAACUACUUAUAAUUCA